GACGAACGCUGGCGGCGUGCUUAACACAUGCAAGUCGAACGAUGAAGAAGAGAAACGCGAACUUCGGUUCAAAUUUCACUUCGGAUUAGUGGCAGACGGGUGAGUAACGCGUGAGCAACCUACCUCUUACAAAGGGAUAGCCUCGGGAAACCGUGAUUAAUACCAUAUGACACAUUCAUAAGGCAUCUUAAGAAUGUUAAAGCUACGGCGGUAAGAGAUGGGCUCGCGUCCCAUUAGCUAGUUGGUGAGGUAACGGCCCACCAAGGCGACGAUGGGUAACCGGCCUGAGAGGGUGAACGGUCACAUUGGAACUGAGACACGGUCCAAACUCCUACGGGAGGCAGCAGUGGGGAAUAUUGCACAAUGGAGGGAACUCUGAUGCAGCGAUGCCGCGUGAGCGAUGAAGGAAUUCGUUUCGUAAAGCUCUGUUCUAUGGGAAGAAAAGGACUGUACCAUAGGAGAAAGCCCCGGCUAAAUACGUG
rnacentral:rRNA from 1 species